rnacentral:tRNA from 1 species
CUCAAUCUGGUGUAGUGGUUUGAAUGUUGGACUACAACUCUGGAGACCAGGGUUCGAUUCCCAGCUUGGCCA